CCAGAUGUUGACUGGUGUAGAAGUUUGCCGACCUGGCCACCAAAAGCUCCAGAAUUUCACCAAAUUUCCAAAAUCUGGUGGCGAGUUUCACCAGAUGGCAACGCUGAGCUGAUUAUGAUGACCAC
rnacentral:lncRNA from 1 species